rnacentral:lncRNA from 1 species
ACUACCAUGAUGCCGGCUGCAGUGUGGAGGAGGUGCUGCUGGGGCUGUCACUUCACGGAGCCUAUGGGGGCCAGGAGCAGGCAGGAGCCCCACGUUCCCGGGCACAGUUGCAGCUGCCUAAGUUGGUGCUGCAGACCCAGGCCUCCCUGUGCUCUUGGGGGCCGGAAGCAGGCAGGAGCCCUGCUCUCCCAGGUGCAGCUGUAGGCUCGGAAAUGUCUACUCCCACUGCCUGGCCUCUCCCGGCUCCCUGUACACACUCUGAUCUUGGAGCGAUGUUGGGGUCAAGCCCAGGUGCUGUUGGACCCCGGCUGGGUGUGUGCACACUCGAGGCAGCACUGACACUCCAGCCCCCUGCUGCCUUGACUCCCUGUGGACUUCGGACACCAACAAGCAAGGGAGGGAGUCUGAAGGGGGGCUGAGGGCAGCUCAGUGCUGGCGGGCAGGCGCUCCGUGGCACGAAUAGCCUGGGCACCAUGAAGAGUGACAGGAGUCAGACAGGUUCCUGGGUAGAAGGGGGCAGGUCCCUGGUGAAGCCCUGCCUUCAAGCCCAGGAGGGCCUGAAGCAUGGGAGAUGGGCUGCAGGUCCCGUGGACCUGAGUGGGAACUUGUGGUGCUUUUUCUGGGCCCACCCAUGGCCGCCCAUGGACCAAUGGACGUGCACUUCUUCCCUCUGAGGACCAUAAAAACCCUGGACUCAGCCAGACUUGAGCAGAUGAUGGAUGGCCAGCUGUAGAGAGGAGCUACCCACCCCAGGGUCUUCUCUCUGCUGAGGGCUGAAUGCUCAUAGGGACACCCCACCUGAGGGGAAAAGCUAUCCACCCUAGGGUCUCCUCUCAGCUGAGUGUUGGACACUCCUUGGGACACCCUGCCAGUGGAGAGGAACUACCCACUGUGGGUCUCUUUAGGUGUUCUAUAGCUCAAUAAAUCUCUUCACCUUGCUCACCCUUCACUUGUCCAUGUACCUUAUUCUUCUUGGAUGCAGGACAAGAAUUUGGGACCUGCCAAAUGUCAGAGCUAAAAC